rnacentral:lncRNA from 1 species
AACAAUAUGAUUGUUUAAGUCUCUAAUGUAUUUUGCUAUUUUCACCUCUAAAAUAGAAGAAUUCUAUAAUAGAGAUGAGAUAUGUUCCAAUGUAUUCCUCUAAAAUAGCAAUCUCUAAAUGUAGAGUAAAAAAUAGAAGAAUGCUAUUUCUUCCUCUAUAAAUAGAGGAAAAAAUAGAGAUCUCUAUUAUAGAGGAAGAAAUAGAGGUGGGUUAGAACAAUUUCACCUGUAAAUGCUAUUAUAGAGGUGAAAAUAGCUAUGGGUUAGAGAUGCUCUAAGAUUUAGAUUUAAUAAUAAAGAUUAGUUUGGGAUAUUAAGUUACUAACCUUUUUAUUGGCACGAAGAUGAGUACACCUAUUGGAUCGAUAUAAUACUUCUCUUUCACUAAAACUGAUAUUAAAACAGAGGCUUACCCCUCGAACCCGAGACCUGAGACGAAGUGUUAGUGAUCACGAAUCCUGAUGAUAUCUGGUUGCUCUUGGUGUAACAUUUAUGAGAAGACAUGAACGACUUCGCAUAUGAGACAGGU